GGGGAAUAUUGGUCAAUGGGCGAGAGCCUGAACCAGCCAAGUAGCGUGAAGGAUGACUGCCCUAUGGGUUGUAAACUUCUUUUAUAAAGGAAUAAAGUCGGGUAUGUAUACCCGUUUGCAUGUACUUUAUGAAUAAGGAUCGGCUAACUCCGUGCCAGCAGCCGCGGUAAUACGGAGGAUCCGAGCGUUAUCCGGAUUUAUUGGGUUUAAAGGGAGCGUAGGCGGACGCUUAAGUCAGUUGUGAAAGUUUGCGGCUCAACCGUAAAAUUGCAGUUGAUACUGGGUGUCUUGAGUACAGUAGAGGCAGGCGGAAUUCGUGGUGUAGCGGUGAAAUGCUUAGAUAUCACGAAGAACUCCGAUUGCGAAGGCAGCUUGCUGGACUGUAACUGACGCUGAUGCUCGAAAGUGUGGGUAUCAAACAGGAUUAGAUACCCUGGUAGUCCACACAGUAAACGAUGAAUACUCGCUGUUUGCGAUAUACAGUAAGCGGCCAAGCGAAAGCGUUAAGUAUUCCACCUGGGGAGUACGCCGGCAACAGUGAAACUCAAAGGAAUUGACGGGGGCCCGCACAAGCGGAGGAACAUGUGGUUUAAUUCGAUGAUACGCGAGGAACCUUACCCGGGCUUAAAUUGCAGAUGAAUUACGGUGAAAGCCGUAAGCCGCAAGGCAUCUGUGAAGGUGCUGCAUGGUUGUCGUCAGCUCGUGCCGUGAGGUGUCGGCUUAAGUGCCAUAACGAGCGCAACCCUUGUUGUCAGUUACUAACAGGUUUUGCUGAGGACUCUGACAAGACUGCCAUCGUAAGAUGUGAGGAAGGUGGGGAUGACGUCAAAUCAGCACGGCCCUUACGUCCGGGGCUACACACGUGUUACAAUGGGGGGUACAGAGGGCCGCUACCACGCGAGUGGAUGCCAAUCCCCAAAACCUCUCUCAGUUCGGACUGGAGUCUGCAACCCGACUCCACGAAGCUGGAUUCGCUAGUAAUCGCGCAUCAGCCACGGCGCGGUGAAUACGUUCCCG
rnacentral:rRNA from 1 species